GUAAACGANGAGUGCUAGGUGUUAGGCCCUUUCCGGGGCUUAGUGCCGGAGCUAACGCAAUAAGCACUCCGCCUGGGGAGUACGACCGCAAGGUUGAAACUCAAAGGAAUUGACAGGGGCCCGCACAAGCGGUGGAGCAUGUGGUUUAAUUNGAAGCAACGCGAAGAACCUUACCAGGUCUUGACAUCCCGAUGCUAUUCUUAGAGAUAGGAAGUUACUUCGGUACAUCGGAGACAGGUGGUGCGUGGUUGUCGUCAGCUCGUGUCGUGAGAUGUUGGGUNNNNNNNNNNNNNCGAGCGCAACCCUUAUUGUUAGUUGCCAUCAUUAAGUUGGGCACUCUAGCGAGACUGCCGGUAAUAAACNGGAGGAAGGUGGGGAUGACGUCAAAUCAUCAUGCCCCUUAUGACCUGGGCUACACACGUGCUACAAUGGUCGGUACAACGAGUUGCGAGCCGGUGACGGCAAGCUAAUCUCUGAAAGCCGAUCUCAGUUCGGAUUGGAGGCUGCAACUCGCCUCCAUGAAGUCGGAAUCGCUAGUAAUCGCGGAUCAGCACGCCGCGGUGAAUACGUUCCCGGGCNU
rnacentral:rRNA from 1 species